UACGGAGGGUGCAAGCGUUAUCCGGAUUCACUGGGUUUAAAGGGUGCGUAGGUGGGUUGGUAAGUCAGUGGUGAAAUCCCCGAGCUUAACUUAGGAACUGCCAUUGAUACUAUCAGUCUUGAAUACCGUGGAGGUCAGCGGAAUAUGUCAUGUAGCGGUGAAAUGCUUAGAUAUGACAUAGAACACCAAUUGCGAAGGCAGCUGGCUACUCGGAUAUUGACACUGAGGCACGAAAGCGUGGGGAUCAAACAGG
rnacentral:rRNA from 1 species